CAAAUUUUAAAUGCUGAUAAGAGUUAACAGCAACUUUAAUUUACCAUUUUUUCCAAACGAACCCAAAAGCAAUGAAAAGGGGAAGUGCAUAAUUAUCUUCAAUGUAUUCAAAAGUUUGAAAACCACUGUACAAAGUCGCAGAAAUGCCAAGCUCCAUAAGGAAUCUUUUUAUAAAGCUGACUAAUUUUCAGAAGACACACGCA
rnacentral:lncRNA from 1 species